CCUACGGGUGGUAGCAGUAGGGAAUCUUGCGCAAUGGACGAAAGCCUGACGCAGCAACGCCGCGUGAGGGAUGAAGGUCUUCGGAUCGUAAACCUCUGUCGGCAGGGAAGAACGGUCACUUUGCUAAUCAGCAGUGCAUUGACGGUACCUGCAAAGGAAGCACCGGCUAACUCCGUGCCAGCAGCCGCGGUAAUACGGAGGGUGCGAGCGUUGAUCGGAAUUACUGGGCGUAAAGCGCUCGUAGGCGGUAUGUCAAGUCAAGGGUGAAAUCCCCGCGCUCAACGGGGGAACUGCCUUUGAAACUGGGAAACUGGAGUGUGUGAGAGGAGAGUGGAAUUCCAGGUGUAGGAGUGAAAUCCGUAGAUAUCUGGAGGAACAUCAGUGGCGAAGGCGACUAUCUGGCACAUAACUGACGCUGAGGAGCGAAAGCGUGGGUAGCAAACAGGAUUAGAUACCCGUGUAGUC
rnacentral:rRNA from 1 species